GGGAAUGGCCAUUGUAGAGGAAGGAUUUCCAGGGCGAAUACCCAGGACAGGGUUUAUCUGGGAGCUGUCCAGUCUGGACACUUGGGUUUGGAGGUGUCAGCAGUGUGGUCCUAGAAAGUACCAAUGCAUGAAACUGCCAGGGAGGCAGUUUCACUGAGAGGAGAUGCCAAGGGAGGAGUGUCUGGCGGGUACGUGGUAGGGGUUGUCUGAAAAGAAGGGCAGGGCCUGGAGAUGGGAGGAGGAGCUAGAGGGGAGAAGUCUGGCUCAUGGGGUCUGAGUUACCAGUUGUUCCUGAGUUCAGAGAUGGUUUGACUCUUGAAAACUUAGGAAGAACAUCCUGAGACCCUGAAGGAGGGCUCCUGUGGAGAGUGGGCCUAAGGGAUGGGCACAUCCCGGCUUCUAAGGGAGGAGCUGCAGCAAACAUGGUUUGAUCUGCUCCCUGCCCUCAGCCUCCACUGAGGAGAAGCUGACCCGUGUAGCUCUGGACCUGAGUGUGGGACAACGGCUGCCAUUUUUACAUAGGCUUCAGGCCCGGGCUGGAGUCUCUGAGGACCCAGGAGAUGGGUCUUGAGGACAAAGUCUAAAUUCCUCCUUGGGCUCUCAAAGAUGACUCCGCCCAUCCCUCCAGGAAUGAGCUCAAACGUCACCUUCAGCUGUUAAAAUCCAUUCCCAAGGGGAGAUAUGAGCUAUGUCUGCCCCUUCUCCUGAGGUCCCAAUGAUUCGACUCCACCAAAGUUCACUCCGGGAACCAAGGAGUUUAUUGGGAUUACUUCCAGAGAAUAGAUGAGGGGUUAGUUACUAGAAUGUGGCUGCUUCCCACCAAAAGGCUGCACUGGACAGUCUUUACCGAGCAGGGAUGAUAUGGUUUCCCUACAGCUGCACAGAUGGAGUCCCUUGUAACAGGUCCUUAGACCGCAGCACAACUGACUCCAUGAUGGAAGAACCGCUCAGGCUGUAAAACUCAGUAGGUAGACAGCACCACUAGCCAAAAUGAAAACAAAGACUUAAUCCACCAAAGUCCAUAGGUUUGGGAAAGUCUCUGAAUGUACUAACCUUGCUUUUUGGAUUUUGUGGUUCUGCUUCUGGUUAACUGUUCUUGUUAACUGAUGUAUGUCAACACAGAACAUGGUUUUUGUGUUUAAAAGCUCACCCUGAGAAAGGCUCAGGGCUAUCCCAGAAUCCCAAACACCCAGUGUAGUCAGUGGCCGGCUAAUCAAGACUUUCUAUUGGCUUAAACCCCUGUCUGAGCCGUUCUGAGCCGUCUUCUCGGGUGCAUACCCCUCACCAUCCCCUUCGUUAGUCUUCCUCGGCCUGUAUACUCUGGUGCUACCCCCCCAUGUCACAUAUAAUUAGGGCAGCAGUGGUAUGUGGGUGAUACUCGGGUGAGGACUCUGUGACCCUCUUUGCUUCCCUAUGGGGAGCUGUAAACAGCCAACAAGCUCAGCUGGGUUGAUCUUUUGGAAGUGGCUCAGCUGAGCUCCCAGAGAUGAUGGCUGUUGGACCCUGAGGACAGUCAUGCCCAACCCUUUCUCAGAAGAGGUUCCUGGCCCACCCUGUCUUCCCAUCACCGCCUUCCCCAGCAUUUCUCGCCCCCUUGUUUCCUUUAUUCCCCUGUUCCUCUCCUUGUCACCCCCAUGUACACAUUGCUGUUGCUCUCCCUCCUGAAGUAUGACCUGGAGCUGUGUUUCCAGCUCCUAGAACAAUAGUUGUACAACUCGUGGCUGUUGACCCGACUGAGUAGAAUUAUGGUUUUGGAGCCAGGCUGAUCUCGAAGUAUCGAAUCCUAGCUCUAGUUAGGUGAAAACCUACUGGGUUUCUAUUGCUAUGUUAAAACACCAUGACCAAAGGCAGCUUGGGAAGGAAAGGGUUUAUUUCGCUUACUCUUCCCCAUCACAGUCCCUCACUUGAAGGAACUCAGGGCAGGAACCUGGAGGUAGGAGCUGAUGCAGAGGCCCUGGAGGAAUGCUGCUUACUGACUUGCUUUGCCUGCCUGCAAUUAACACUAGGAUCGCUAGUCCAGGGAUGGAUGCACCCACAGAGUGCUGGGUCCUCCCACAUCAUCAAUCAAGAGAUGCCCUAUUGACUUGCCUACAAGUCAAUCUGAUGUGAGGACAUUUUCUCAACUGAGGUUUCUGCCUCUCAAAUGACUAGCUGUGCCAUGUUGACAAGAAACAAAAACACCAAAAACCCAACCAGGGCAUGCUUGGUCGGUCUGGGUCUCUCCUUUGUAAAAUAACAAGGUUUAAUGAAUUGUUACGAGGGGAAUUAAAUGAUAGAAUCCACUCAUUCAGCAAAAAAUUAUUGUACCCUGCAAACCAGGUGUUGUGCAGGAGACACAGGAAUGAGAACUGGUAGCAAAUGCUCCCAUCAUCUGGGCAGAAAGGCCAGGAGGAAAAAAGGACAUACCACAGGGUAGCAGCAGGACAUCAGUGGAGCCAUACCUCUGCUCCAUUCCUCUAGGUAGGCAUAAUUUGGUUGACAUAAAGUCCCACUAACGACACUCAUCCUCUUUCCAGGUAGAGCCCUAGGAACUAGGAUUCCAUUUUAUGCCUCACGGCUGUGUCUACAGUUGACCCAACAGAGGUAAGCCCCAGACUCAGGCUAGGCCCCCAUGUCUCCGUUUGAGCAAUUUAAGGUUGUGCUAGAGGGGUCGAGGACAUGGCUCAGUGGUGGAGAACACACACUAUCCUUGCAGAGGACUUGUGUUCAGUUCCCAGGACACUUGUCAAACAGCUUGAUUGCUAAAAUCCUUCCCUGGAGGAGAAGUAAACAAUGACUCCCUCUCUCUGAAGGUCUCCAUGACAAGCUGAGGUACAAUUCCAUCAAGGUUCACUUUGGGGAAGCAGUAAGUUUAUUAUGCUUCCUUAUAGAGCGAGGGAGGUCACGGGUGUGAGCAGGGGUGGCCUUAACACAGCCGCAAUGGAAAGUCUGCACCCAGAACGGAGGACAACUCCCUCAUGGAUGCAGAGAUGGACUGUUCUCUCUAGUCCUUCCACCUCUAUACAGUAAAUCCUACCCAUCCAUCCCAGAGUCCAUCUAGUUAGGCCAAAAUUCUACGUGCCUUCUUGGGAGGUGCAUCUAGAUCCCCAGUGAGGGUCUUAUGACACGCUGGCACCCUAGGAAAGGUUGACAGUCAAAGAGCCCAGCUGCUGGCCCAAGCAAGUGAGCACGGCUGAACUCAUGGGGGUGGUCAUAGUUUGGCCCAGAGGAUAGUCCUGGACAAAAGGCUCACAAAUGCCUGCAACUCCAGCUCCAGAGGAUCUGAUGUGGUCGUCUGGAUUCCCUGAGCACCUAUGCUCACCCAUGUGCGCACGCGCACACACACACACACACACACACACACACACAGAGUAAACUUUUAAAAGCACAAAAAUGAGCUGGAGAUUUCAUUUCUGCAGAGUUUCUGAGGAUCGGUAUUAAAGUGCCCUUCCUUCUGAGGGCUGGAGAGAUGGCUCAGUGGUUAAAGUACUCUUCUGCCAGCUGAACUUGUGAUGGGAUUCCUGUUUGCAUGGGUACUGGACAAGAGAGGGGGAUGGGCUCCAGAUGUGUCCCAGGCCCUGGCUCAGGCCUCCUCCUUGAGGCCUGGGGGCUUCUGUGCCAAAAAAAAAAAAAAAAAAAAAAAAAAAAAAAGCCUGUGAGACAAAUUCCCCUCUCUUUGCUUAAGCUGUCUGGAGUUGUAGCCAAAGAAGGGCACCUGUAGCCUUCUGCUAGAACUCGUAGCCCCCAUUUUAACACUUACUACAUUAAUACACUUAAUAUGUGUGGGGGCCAGCCAUGAUGAUCUAAAUCUGGGCAGGUCACCCAAAGGAAGUUCUUUACUUCCUCCAACCAUUAUCACCUGGGACUCUGGCCGUCGAUAAAUUUAAAUGGAGGCUGGAGUCUCAGUUGUUUACCCUGAGAUGAGGCUGUAGGAGGAACCCCAAGCUGAGACCACCCGACCCCCACCCAAGAACAGACCAUUCAAAGUAAGUUUCUGGCAUUCUAAGCACUGUAGAUAGAAACACCUGCCAGCGCACAGCCACCAGGAAACCCUAGACGAAUGUCAGCCAAUCAGGGGGUCUUAAAACCUCAGAACCCCCUCACCCCCACCUUUCCUACUAUAAAAUCCUAUUCUAAUUGAGCUCGGGGCUCUCUGGUUAUUCCAACAUGUUGGACAUGCAGAGAGACCGAGUUUGCAAACUUGAUUAAAAUAAAGGCUCUUUGCUUUUACAUACGUAAC